UGAAACAGCACACAUUUACAGCUGAAGACUCUGCUAUAUACAGCUCUGUGGCUGUUUCAAAGCCAAAGUCUUCAGCAUCAACAGAUAAUGAGCAGGACGUGAACUACAGCUUUGUAAAAAUCGCUUCCAAGAAUAAAACUAAGUCUCCAAAAGAUGUUGGUGAUGAGACAAUCUGGAGCAACGUGGUUUGCUAGUAAGAGAUGUGUGAUUAAAAAAAAAAUCUCUCUCUCUCUCUCUCUCUCUCUCUCUCUCUCUCUCUCGCUCUCUCUCUCUCUAUUCACACACAAACACACACAGUGCUGUGAAAAUGUAUUUGCCCCAUCCUGAUUUCUUCUAUUUUUGUGUAUCUUAUACUAAAUUGUUUCAGAAAUGUUUAGUUUGAAAUGGUUUGAGUAUCAUAUCUAUAGGGAAGAAAAAUGUAAUAGCGAUAUCAUUUAAUUCUUCAUAAUAAUGUGCACCAGCAGUGGGAAGUAACGUACUACAUGUACUACGGUUACAGUACUUAAGUACAUGGUUCACUGUAAUGAUACUUUUUUUAUUCUAAUUAAAUGAAAGUACUUAAUGAUACUGUGAAGUACAUUUACUUGAGGUUUUUUAUCUUCUUUAUUUUUGCACAAAUAAAACGUACAAAAUAUAAAAUGUAAAAGUUCUAUUUCAAAGCCCAAUCAAAAUAAAGCCAUUUCCUGCUGAAAGUCUAUGACAAGUAAACUGUGACUAGCCGUGAGUAUGUUCUUCUUCCUUUUGUUCAGGACUGCAGGGUGGUUUCUUUCAGAACUAGUGAGGUUUUCCUGUUUGCUCAGUUCUUUGCUCAGUAUUAAUAGGAACGUCCUCACCUCAUGCCCAUGAUCAUACCCUUCCAUGUGUAGCCGUUAAAGGACCCCACUACAUUACUGCCCUCCUCACUGAUCGCACUGAAUCUGUUAGAGUCUGGCUUCAUGGCUGCCUUGGCAAAAUUAAAAUUAGAUUCUCCACCUGGACUUAGUAACAUGAGGGAACAAGAUGGUUAAGUCGUGGCUACUUCUGAAUAAAGCAUGAUCAUUAUAUUGUGCUCCCAAACUAGAGUGUACAUAUUUACACUAACCACCAGGCAC